rnacentral:rRNA from 1 species
CAGUAGCCGCGGUAAUACGAGGGGGGCAAGCGUUGUUCGGAAUUAUUGGGCGUAAAGGGUGCGUAGGCGGUUUGGCAAGUUUGGUGUGAAAUCUUCGGGCUCAACUCGAAGUCUGCAUCGAAAACUGCCGGGCUUGAGUAUGGGAGAGGUGAGUGGAAUUUCCGGUGUAGCGGUGAAAUGCGUAGAUAUCGGAAGGAACACCUGUGGCGAAAGCGGCUCACUGGACCAUAACUGACGCUGAUGCACGAAAGCUAGGGGAGCAAACAGGAUUAGAUACCCCGUAGUCCCUGUCUCUUAUACA